rnacentral:sRNA from 2 species
ACCCCGGUAUUAUUGCUGUUAUGGGUUUGAAUCGAGCUUAGCCUUGUUCAUUUUUUUACACAACACCCCCGUAAAAAAUACAACACGGCCCGCUCAAGCCCGCGGACGGCAAAGCACUCAAAGGCAUAAAAACGCCCCAAAGUGCCUCAAAAAAGCCUCACGGGCGCUUUUUUAGGGCAA